GCGCUGUGAGUCUGCGCUGUGUGUCUGCGCUGUGUGUCUGCGCUGUGUGUCUGCGCUGUGUGUCUACCUAGCAACAUUGGUGGGUGAACUUCAGCAUCCUCAAGAAAUGCCUUUUAAAGGGAACUUUUUUUAAAGGAGCCACCCCCUGGUCUAAUACAUCCUUGUGGCAUCCAGUACAUUUGUCUGGGCUUGGCGGGCACACAGGGAAAUGAUGGGGCCCGGUCCUGGACACAAGCCACGAGGAGAAGCCAGGCCUACUCCCCAACGCUGCCUUUCCAUCUGGGAACAAAACCGCUGGAACAUUUUAAUGACGGCUGGCACCUAAUUCUCACCCCGGAGGGCUCAUCAAACCCAACUGAUCUGAAGCAGCAGACAGCGUGGCCCAAAUGUCUGAGAGACAGGCUGUGAACCUCUUCGCUCAAGCACGUAUUCAGACAUUUGAAAAAAACCAAAGCAUCCACCCCCGACGGCCACUCAGCAUGUCCAGGGCUGCGGUUGCCCCUCCGGUCAUCCUGGGCCCCUCAGGCCCAUCACAGGGACACCGAAGUUCCAUGCUCACUGGGAAAGCUGCAGGCAGGCUGGGGAGGAAGGUGGAACAAAGAAAAGAUGUCCUGCACCGGACGACUGUGCACACGGCCAGCAGCUGGGUUCCUCCAGGGAGAUGCACACAUCCAGGAAACCAGAGCGUGUGUGUGUGUGCGCAUGCGUGUUCAAGAUAUCUACACGCAUACGUAUGUGACAUCUCCAUCUGUAUGUGUAUACAUAUUAUAUAUAUCUGCAUAUCUACAGAUACAGGGAUGUACAUUUUCCUAAAUCUGGGAUGGCUGUAGAAAGGUCCGCAGGAGCAUGCCCAUGGAACAUAAGACAGCCCUCUGGCCAGGCCACCAGCAGAUAAGCAUAUGCUCACCGGAGCCAGGGAAGGAAGCUGCACUUUCCGGGACUCCGAAGCAGGCCUCUGGCUGGGCCCACUAGUGAAAAACAGGAGACCCAGAUUCCAAAUCAGCGGGAGGUUUAUACUACGUGGGCCUAGCAUGUGUUGGGGGGAAGACAGUGCAAAUAGCUCUGAGCACCAGCUGCAGCUGAGAACUGUGCAGCCUCUCCCAUCUGCAGCUCUGGCUGCCUCGGCUCCGUGGAACGGUUUCAACAACUCCUUGACAAGGCCAAGUUGAUAUUUAUGUCUCAUCAAACCCACUACACAAAGGAAAUGAAAAAGCAACCGGGAGCCCCUCCAGGAUGCGGGAGGGAGGGAGCUAAUUACUGGGCAAGGAGAGGCGAGGCUCAGAGGGGCCACGCUGAAAGCGCCCUGUCCCUGCGGCGAGGGGACGGGAGCCAGGGGAGUCUGAAGCUACCCGUCCCCUCCACUGGCCAAAACCCAACAGCUCUCGGUGCGUCGAUCCCAAGCGACAAGGCAGCAAAAGCGACUGUGUUCAGGUCCAGACCCGCCCCUCGGUAUCACCCGCCUGAGAUGUACCAUGAGAUGCUAAAGCCAGGCAUGGGGCCUGGGAGAGAUUUCAGAACUGGAUAGCAUCUGAAAAUUAAAUCCGUUAAAUGCUAUGUCUCAAUAUUUACAUGCGAUGUAGCUCACUGAACACCAAGGGCUUAGAGAAAAGAAUAAACGUGGGGGUGGGUGUGCUUGCAAUUCUGCGGAGAACAGUCAGGAGCCCCCAACUGACCCCUGCUCCUUAGGUCUUCAACCACCCCGAGUUAGCACUGCCUGAAAAUGACCACAACUUCCAUCUCGGCCAAGAAGCAGGGAGAGAGGAUAACAGCCCCACAAAGAACAAGAGACGGGGGAGGGUGCUGAACCGAGGGCUGCUGCACUGGGUUGAACAGUGUCCCUCAAAAUGUAUAUCCACCUGAAACC